rnacentral:lncRNA from 1 species
GACAAUAAGGUUAUAGUUCCAAUCUUCAAACUGUAAUUAUCUUUCAAAAUCCUUCUAAAAUAAUUAUGGUGAAUAUCAGUACUACAAGGAUGCAUGAUCCAAUAUAUAUUAAUUUAUAGAUGAAUGGUAAGAGAGCUUUCUUUAGUCCACUCAUGGGUGACAAUAAGAUUUCAAUUAGCUGCUGACUCAUUCAUCCAAAUGUUGAGUAAAAUAUAUAGAAACAUAUACUCAUCAAAUGAGUGAAUGAUGCGGGAGACAAAUUGAAUCUUAAGUUUCCUAUACUUGGACUGAAGGGAGCUCCCUUUUCUUCCUUU